AAUAUUGGACAAUGGGCGCAAGCCUGAUCCAGCCAUGCCGCGUGGGUGAAGAAGGCCUUAGGGUUGUAAACCCCUUUCAGCGGGGAAGAUAAUGACGGUACCCGCAGAAGAAGUCCCGGCUAACUCCGUGCCAGCAGCCGCGGUAAUACGGAGGGGACUAGCGUUGUUCGGAAUUACUGGGCGUAAAGCGCACGUAGGCGGAUUUGUAAGUCAGGGGUGAAAUCCCGGGGCUCAACCUCGGAACUGCCUUUGAUACUGCAAAUCUCGAGUCCGGAAGAGGUGAGUGGAAUUCCUAGUGUAGAGGUGAAAUUCGUAGAUAUUAGGAAGAACACCAGUGGCGAAGGCGGCUCACUGGUCCGGUACUGACGCUGAGGUGCGAAAGCGUGGGGAGCAAACAGG
rnacentral:rRNA from 1 species